rnacentral:rRNA from 1 species
UGGGGAAUAUUGCACAAUGGGCGCAAGCCUGAUGCAGCCAUGCCGCGUGUGUGAAGAAGGCCUUCGGGUUGUAAAGCACUUUCAGCGGGGAGGAAGGCGAUAAGGUUAAUAACCUUGUCGAUUGACGUUACCCGCAUAAGAAGCACCGGCUAACUCCGUGCCAGCAGCCGCGGUAAUACGGAGGGUGCAAGCGUUAAUCGGAAUUACUGGGCGUAAAGCGCACGCAGGCGGUCUGUCAAGUCGGAUGGGAAAUCCACGGGGUCAACCUGGGAACUGCAUUCGAAACUGGCAGGCUAGAGUCUUGUAGAGGGGGGUAGAAUUCCAGGUGUAGCGGUGAAAUGCGUAGAGAUCUGGAGGAAUACCGGUGGCGAAGGCGGCCCCCUGGACAAAGACUGACGCUAAGGUGCGAAAGCGUGGGGAGCAAACAGG